AGUGAACGCUGGCGGUAGGCCUAACACAUGCAAGUCGAACGGCAGCACAGUAAGAGCUUGCUCUUACGGGUGGCGAGUGGCGGACGGGUGAGGAAUACAUCGGAAUCUACUUUUUCGUGGGGGAUAACGUAGGGAAACUUACGCUAAUACCGCAUACGACCUACGGGUGAAAGCAGGGGAUCUUCGGACCUUGCGCGAUUGAAUGAGCCGAUGUCGGAUUAGCUAGUUGGCGGGGUAAAGGCCCACCAAGGCGACGAUCCGUAGCUGGUCUGAGAGGAUGAUGACCCAAAGUGGAAAUAGGACACGGCCCAAAACCCCAAGGGAGGACGCAGGGGGGAUUAUUGGAAAAGGGGCGCAGGCCUGACCCAGCCAGACGGGGUGGGUGAAGAAGGCCUUCGGGUGGAAAAGCCUUUUUGUUGGGAAAGAAAAGCAGCAGGUGAAAACCCCGCUUUUGUGACGGUCCCCAAAGAAAAAGAACCGGAUAACUUCGG
rnacentral:rRNA from 1 species